rnacentral:rRNA from 1 species
GUCUAUGGUCAUGUCACCCUGAACAAGACCAAUCCCGUCUGAUCUCGGAAGCUAAGCAGGGUCAGGCCUGGUUGGUACUUGGAUGGGAGAUCACCUAGGAAGACCAGGUGCUGUAGGCG